GACGGAUUUAAAAUAGUCCUUAAAAAGAAAUGUUCRUUUCUCCCCAAAGUUACAAGACCUCCAGGUUGAAUUCCACAAUGAUGGGGAGAGAAAGUGCAAAGGGUUCUGUCUCACGCACGGCAUUAAGAAUGAACUUGGGCAUAUGCAGACCUGUGGGCUGCAGCUCCGAGGGGGCAAGCUCCCGCUUUGGGGGUGAGAAAUGAGCGUGUGCAGAGAAGCCAUCUGGGAAAACUCUUCCACUAAUUUGAACUGAACCAAGCUGAGACCCUCAGCACUUCUUUCCAUUGAGAUCCAAGCUGAACAAUGACACAAUCUGAAGGCUGAUGUUCAGUUGUGAGAUACCCAUGUGUCCUCGCCUAACAGCUGUCACGAUGGACAGUUGGAUCUCUGUAAAGAACACAAGUUUCUGCAUCUUAAUUAUUCAAGAAAAAGUUUGGCUCAGUUUACCUUUGCUGUUCACACCUCACCUUGUCCAAAAAUAUCUUCUAAACUCAGAAUUCCUAAGAGGACCUUGAAGAAGUGCCAAAGUCCUUCAACUGCCUCCUGGGAAACAUUAGGGUUAUUCAUGGCUUCCUCCUUUGGUGGCUGCAGCGUCUUCUGACUGUUGUGACGGAGCCUGACGCUGGCCAGCGGCCACCACCRAGCUUAAGCAUGGAGUCAAAGGGGGCCCUGAAGGCAGCCUUUCAUCUUGGGAUGCAACCUCACCUAUGCCUAACCUGUCACCCUGGGUUUUUGAAUUCAUAAAUUCCUCUCCUUAUUUAUUUAUUUAUUUGCAAUAAAACAUUUAGAGUUGAAUUUUCU
rnacentral:lncRNA from 1 species